rnacentral:rRNA from 1 species
GACGAACCGUGCGAACGUUGUUCGGAAUCACUGGGCUUAAAGGGCGCGUAGGCGGGCUCACAAGUCAGGGGUGAAAUCCCACGGCUCAACCGUGGAAGUGCCUUUGAUACUGUGGGUCUUGAGGGAGGUAGGGCGUGCGGAACUUCCGGUGGAGCGGUGAAAUGCGUAGAUAUCGGAAGGAACACCGGUGGCGAAAGCGGCGCGCUGGACCUCUACUGACGCUGAGGCGCGAAAGCCAGGGAG